rnacentral:rRNA from 1 species
GACGUAGACCCGAAACCGGGCGACCUACCCAUGAGCAGGAUGAAGCGAAAGUAAAAUUUCGUGGAGGGCCGAACCCACGAGCGUUGAAAAGCUCGGGGAUGACUUGUGGGUAGCGGUGAAAUUCCAAUCGAGCCCGGAGAUAGCUGGUUCUCCCCGAAAUAGCUUUAGGGCUAGCCUCAAGGUGAGAGAUACGGAGGUAGAGCACUGAAUGUCCUAGGGGGUAUUGCACCUACCGAAGACUAUCAAACUCCGAAUGCCGUCAUCUUAUACUUGGGAGUCAGACUGUGGGUGAUAAGAUUCAUAGUCGAAAGGGCAACAGCCCAGAUCGUCAGCUAAGGUCCCUAAAUGUAAGUUAAGUGGUAAAGGAUGUGGGAUUGCACAGACAACCAGGAUGUUGGCUUAGAAGCAGCCACUCAUUCAAAGAGUGCGUAAUAGCUCACUGGUCGAGUGAUCCUGCGCCGAAGAUUUCCGGGGCUAAAACUUACUACCGAAGCUACGGCAUCAGUAAUGAUGGGUAGGGGAGCUUCCCAUA